rnacentral:rRNA from 1 species
GACGAACGCUGGCGGCGUGCUUAACACAUGCAAGUCGAACGGUAAGGCCCUUCGGGGCACACGAGUGGCGAACGGGUGAGUAACACGUGGGUGAACUGCCCCGCACUUCGGGAUAAGCCUGGGAAACUGGGUCUAAUACCGGAUAGGACCAUGCGCUUGGCGGUGCAUGGUGGAAAGCGUUUUCGGUGUGGGAUGGGCCCGCGGCCUAGCAGCUUGUUGGUGGGGUAAUGGCCUACCAAGGCGACGACGGGUCGGCGGCCGGAGAGGCUGACCGGCCACACUGGGAGUGAGAUACGGCUCAGACUCCUACGGGAGGCAGCAGUGGGGAAUAUUGCACAAUGGGCGCAAGCCUGAUGCAGCGACGCCGCGUGAGGGAUGACGGCCUUCGGGUUGUAAACCUCUUUCAGUAGGGACGAAGCGCAAGUGACGGUACCUACAGAAGAAGGACCGGCCAACUACGUGCCAGCCGCCGCGGUAA